rnacentral:rRNA from 1 species
CUCCACAUUGGAUCCAGAACAGGAUCGGAGGGAUCAAAAACUGCUAAGUUGUAUAAAGACAUUGAACUAGCCCAACCAGAAACUGGAGUUGUGUGCAUUAUAUGCACCGCAAGCAAUCGACCUGCAUCAUUCAAUGCGAUAUUAUGA